rnacentral:rRNA from 1 species
UACGUAGGGUGCGAGCGUUAAUCGGAAUUACUGGGCGUACAGCGUGCGCAGGCGGUUGUGCAAGACAGGUGUGAAAUCCCCGGGCUUAACCUGGGAACUGCACUUGUGACUGCACGGCUGGAGUGCGGCAGAGGGGGAUGGAAUUCCGCGUGUAGCAGUGAAAUGCGUAGAUAUGCGGAGGAACACCGAUGGCGAAGGCAAUCCCCUGGGCCUGCACUGACGCUCAUGCACGAAAGCGUGGGGAGCAAACAGG